GAACGCUCGGAGCAAUCCGGGAGUGGCAGACGGGUGAGUAACACGUGGGAACGUACCCUUUUGUUCGGAAUAACCCCAGGGAAACUUGGGCUAAUACCGGAUACGGCCGAGAGGCGAAAGGUUUACCGCAGAAGGAUCGGCCCGCGUCCGAUUAGCUUGUUGGUGAGGUAAUGGCUCACCAAGGCAUCGAUCGGUAGCUGGUCUGAGAGGAUGGCCAGCCACAUUGGGACUGAGACACGGCCCAAACUCCUACGGGAGGCAGCAGUGGGGAAUAUUGGACAAUGGGCGCAAGCCUGAUCCAGCCAUGCCGCGUGAGUGAUGAAGGCCUUAGGGUUGUAAAGCUCUUUUACCUGGGAAGAUCAUGACGGUACCAGGAGAAUAAGCCCCGGCUAACUUCGUG
rnacentral:rRNA from 1 species